UACGAAGGGGGCGAGCGUUGUUCGGAUUUACUGGGCGUAAAGGGCGCGCAGGCGGCUCAUUUUGUCAGGCGUGAAAGCCCCGGGCUUAACCUGGGAACUGCGUUUGAUACGGAUGGGCUAGAGUUCGGGAGAGGAGAGUGGAAUUCCCAGUGUAGAGGUGAAAUGCGUAGAUACUGGGAGGAACACCGGUGGCGAAGGCGGCUACCUGGACGGGUACUGACGCUGAGGCGCGAAAGCUAGGGGAGCAAACAGG
rnacentral:rRNA from 1 species